rnacentral:rRNA from 1 species
UACGUAGGGUGCGAGCGUUGUCCGGAAUUACUGGGCGUAAAGAGCUCGUAGGUGGUUUGUCGCGUUGUUCGUGAAAACUCACAGCUUAACUGUGGGCGUGCGGGCGAUACGGGCAGACUGGAGUACUGCAGGGGAGACUGGAAUUCCUGGUGUAGCGGUGGAAUGCGCAGAUAUCAGGAGGAACACCGGUGGCGAAGGCGGCUAUCUGGACAGAGUCUGACGCUGAGGCGCGAAAGCUAGGGGAGCAAACAGG